CAGAAACAGUGGGCUGGUAGAGAAGGAGACACAUUUGUGCAAUAUUUAGGAAGCAAAAUUGUAGAGCAGGAAUGGAUCUGAAGUCAAUGAAAAACUCUUCAUAGCUCUAGUUGUUGGGCUUCCCCAGAAGAUGACAUUGAAAGGAAGGUUUGGAUGCAAGUUGUUCAUUUAGGAGGAGAUCUCAGGAAGCACAAAGUAUUUCCUUGAGUCAGGACCUCCAAGUCCUCCCCUAACUCCAGGUAUGCUGGGUGCUGGAGAGAGCCCUGGACUUGGAGUCAAAAGACUGCAGUUGGAGCAGAGGAUCUUCCCUCAGAAGUUCUGCUGUGGGCUGAGUCGUUUCACCUCUCUGGGCCCCAGAUGGACCUUUGUAAAACUGAGUGGAGGCGAGGAGGUGCAGCAGGUCCAUAAAUUCAUCAGCUUCCCAGGCUGCUUCCACCUUUGCUACAUGUGGCCUCAUCCUUACAGCCCAAGAUGGCUCCUAGGGCUCUAGCCAUCACAUGCUGGUACCAGAGAGCAAGAUGACUGAAGGGGAGGAAAGAGAGCAUGUGCUUGUCUCGUGAAGAGAUUUCCUGGAAGUUACACAAAACAUUUCUGUUUUCAGCUUGUUGACUAGAACAUAGUCGUCUGUCAUACUUAGUGUGGAGGGUGACCAAAGAGGGAGUGUUUUGUCUGAAUAGCAUUGCAUCCAGCCAGAUAGCGAGGGCAAGUAGCUGGAGGGAAGAGGAAGACAGACAUUGUAGAGGAAGCUAGCAGUGACUCCCCCCCAGAUUAUAUCCUAUUAAUAAAAGUAAGAACCUAAUUUAUGCCAUGUGCCUGGGCCUCACAGGGCCAUCACACCUCCAUGAAACAAAGUGCUUGGCCUCACUCUGGUUUGCUUUUGUCAUCUCUGAAACAAGGAGGUUUUACUUCCCCAUGUUUCCCAAAUGUCCAUCAUUCAAAUAAUGCUUCUGCUGUGUAGCCAUGUCUACAGCUGUGGUCAAUGCUCCUCAUCAAGGCCGCUGUCUGUGUACCACUCGUGAUUUAAUCAGUCCGUUUUCUUCCAGGGGACUCUCCCUUUAAGCUUCUCUCUCUCUCUCU
rnacentral:lncRNA from 1 species